CCUCUAAUUUUUUUCCUUCUCUAUUGAAUAGGUCUUAUUGAGAAGAAGAGUAGAGGAGUUACUAGGUGUGUCAGUCUCAUUGGAAUAAGCGAGGAGGAGCAGAAACAUGUAACAUUGCAUCAUCUUGGCAGGCCGAUUGGGGAGAAAAAUGCAGAAGAGCGAAGUUCAUACUUGUGAACUUUGGCUCGCAAUGCACGCUUUAGCUCCUUUCACUUACUUGGAAUGGACUGAUGUCACAAUUGAAAAUAAAGCUGAUAUGUGGAAAAUGAUCAAUGUGGUACAUGCUAUGAUCUUAGACUUGAAAUGUAAGAAGUACCUUGACGGCAAAUGUGGGUUUUGCUUACAGUUUAAAAUGCUACAGGAAAAGUUUUGUCAUUGAUGAACGUGGUCACUCUUGGGUGUUAUCUACUAUUGGAACUCUAUGGAGAAACUUUAAAAGUAGAAUGCAGCGAUAAAAUAUUACACCAAAAAUAAUUCUAGAGCUUUCCUGAAGGGAAGGCACAUAGUGAAAGGGGCAAGAUUAGUCGUGACGCUCAAAAAAAUAUGCACCAUAUGGGAUCAAAGAGCUUUGCCUAAUCGGAUGUUGACCUUUUAAGAUCUGAACAAUCAGAGGAAAUUCAGAAUAAAACCAAGAUCUAUGCGUGUAUCACUUCAUGGCAAGGGAGUUAAUCUGACACAAUUGAGGACAAAUUCUGAUUUGCAGACACAGAACAAUAACAAAAUAGUUGAGAUGCAAGCUGAGAUGCGAGCUGAGAUACGAGUUGAGUUACGCGCUGAAUUCCGCUUAACCAAUGGUUGGCAGAUGAUGAUCUCACAAAUUCAAAAUGGAAAACAAUUGAAAGAUAUUAAUGUUUCUGACAUUUUUGGUGCUAGGUUAUUUACAGAUGUUACUGGUGAUCUAGAAAAAUCAAUAAUAGGAGGCCAUUGAUCCUCGACAACAACCAAUAGUCCACAUAAUUCGGUAAAGGAAGAUUUGGAGGUUGCAAAUCUCUCUGAUGACAAUGAUGCUGAAGAUUAAAGAUUAUGUAAUUAUAAAUCAAUGGUUUAGAAUCUAUAUAUUUUGUAUUGGAAGUUCUUUUGAGGCUAGCUGAACUAGGUACUACUAACUAAUUCUAGUUGUGACAUGGAUAUUUUUGUGUGACAUUAUUUAGAACUGAUUAAAUGUUGU